CAGUAGCCACGGUAAAACGGAGGGGGCUAGCGUUGUUCGGAAUUACUGGGCGUAAAGCGCACGUAGGCUGCUUUGUAAGUUAGAGGUGAAAGCCUGGUGCUCAACACCAGAACUGCCUUUAAGACUGCAGAGCUAGAACGUCGGAGAGGUGAGUGGAAUUCCGAGUGUAGAGGUGAAAUUCGUAGAUAUUCGGAAGAACACCAGUGGCGAAGGCGGCUCACUGGACGACUGUUGACGCUGAGGUGCGAAAGCGUGGGGAGCAAACAGGAUUAGAUACCCCCGUAGUCCCUGUCUCUUAUAC
rnacentral:rRNA from 1 species